AAUGAACGCUGGCGGCAGGCUUAACACAUGCAAGUCGAGCGGGGGAAGGUAGCUUGCUACCGGACCUAGCGGCGGACGGGUGAGUAAUGCUUAGGAAUCUGCCUAUUAGUGGGGGACAACAUCUCGAAAGGGAUGCUAAUACCGCAUACGUCCUACGGGAGAAAGCAGGGGAUCUUCGGACCUUGCGCUAAUAGAUGAGCCUAAGUCGGAUUAGCUAGUUGGUGGGGUAAAGGCCUACCAAGGCGACGAUCUGUAGCGGGUCUGAGAGGAUGAUCCGCCACACUGGGACAUAGACACGGCCCAGACUCCUACGGGAGGCAGCAGUGGGGAAUAUUGGACAAUGGGGGGAACCCUGAUCCAGCCAUGCCGCGUGUGUGAAGAAGGCCUUAUGGUUGUAAAGCACUUUAAGCGAGGAGGAGGCUACUCUAGUUAAUACCUAGGGAUAGUGGACGUUACUCGCAGAAUAAGCACCGGCUAACUCUGUGCCAGCCGCCGCCGUAA
rnacentral:rRNA from 1 species